rnacentral:rRNA from 1 species
GACGAACGCUGGCGGCGUGCUUAACACAUGCAAGUCGAACGGUGAAGCUCCAGCUUGCUGGAGUGGAUCAGUGGCGAACGGGUGAGUAACACGUGAGCAACCUGCCCCUGACUCUGGAAUAAGCGCUGGAAACGGCGUCUAAUACUGGAUACGAGAGGGGUCCGCAUGGGCACUUUCUGGAAAGUUUUUCGGUUGGGGAUGGGCUCGCGGCCUAUCAGCUUGUUGGUGAGGUAAUGGCUCACCAAGGCGACGACGGGUAGCCGGCCUGAGAGGGCGACCGGCCACACUGGGACUGAGACACGGCCCAGACUCCUACGGGAGGCAGCAGUGGGGAAUAUUGCACAAUGGGCGAAAGCCUGAUGCAGCGACGCCGCGUGAGGGAUGACGGCCUUCGGGUUGUAAACCUCUUUCAGCAGGGAAGAAGCGAAAGUGACGGUACCUGCAGAAGAAGCACCGGCUAACUACGUG